AUGCUGAGUUCAGCAGCACAUAUACUAAAAUUGAGAAGAUACAGAGAAGAUUAGUAUGGGCCUUGUGCAAGGAUGACAAGCAGAUGUGAGAAGUGUUCCAUAUUUUU
ensembl:snRNA U6 U6 spliceosomal RNA